AUUGGACUACAUGGCAGUCACGGGUACGGAGAUUAGGUUCGAUUCCGGAGAGGAGCCUAGAGAAACGGCUACCACAUCUACGGAAGGCAGCAGGCGACGUAAAUUACCCAAUCCUGAUUCAGGGAGGUAGUGACAAGAAAUAACAACUCGGGCAUUUUUAAUGCUUCGAAUUUGCAAUGGGAACAAUCUAAAUCACUUAUCGAGGAACAAUUGGAGGGCAAGUCUGGUGCCAGCAGCCGCGGUAAUUCCAGCUCCAAUAGCGUAUAUUAAAGUUGUUGCAGUUAAAAAGCUCGUAGUUGAAUUUCUGAUUAUGAAUGUACUGGGUAACCGGUCCAUUUAUAGUCAUCCACAUGAGAACCUUUCUCGGCCUUCACUGGUCGGUUGGGGGAUCAUGUACUUUACUUUGAAAAAAUCAGAGUGUUUCAGGCAGGCGUUUGCAUGAAUACACAAGCAUGGAAUAAUGGAAUAGGACUAGGGUCCAUUUUAUUGGUUAUUGGACCAUAGUAAUGAUUAAUAGGGACAGUUGGGGGG
rnacentral:rRNA from 1 species